rnacentral:snRNA from 1 species
AGCUUUGCGCUGUGGCAAUAUCAUAGCCAGUGAGGUUUAUCUGAGGCGUGAUUGUUUCUAACGGAAAACUUUUCCCCCAGAAUGACCCAGAAUCCUACCACAUAAUUACUUAGUAAUUGAUAGCUAUCCUUCUACUACUUUUUGUACACAUAUACAUAUA